CAAGAAAACAAAUAUGCUGACGGACACAGCCCUACGAAAGUGGAAAACGUCGCAAGGGGCGUUCACCCUUACGUAGAACAAACGUAGAAUCCCAGCGCCUCUUCAGCUCAAGCACGGUGCAGAAACCGAGCGGGAGGACUCAAGAGGAGGAGGUGCCUGGCAGGAUUGAUCUAGUCUGGCAGCAGUGAUCCUCCGAACGGAAGCCACGCCUGAGUCCCAACACGCUGUCCGGAAGCGGCCAGGACCUAGCAGGCUUGAUGGCACGCAGAAAGAAGGGAAUAGUUAAGUGCGCAGCACCCAGAAGCUGCACCAACCUCCACCCCAGCACUACCCAGCCGCCCUUCGCACCCCCUGCACUUCGCCGAGCCAUCGCAAGGGGGUGGCAGUGACUCGAGGUCUGGGCAGGACUUCUCUGGAGGCAGCCGGUGAAAUGCUGAUGUAAGGGUUUUGUUCCCUGUGUGUAUUUGUUGUAAUUCCAUCGCACAAUGAGAAGACAUCUACAUCCACACGAAGCUAUUGUGAGAAGAAAAGGGAAAGCGAGCAUAAAACCUUUCUGCUGAUGAAUUUCCCAGAAAAUUACCUAUGAGCAGAAUAAAUCUGUAAAACCUGUAUUAACCUUCGUAAAGUGUUGAAAAUAUGCCUUGCAUGGGACAUUCAAAACCUCAGUUACAUUCCCCAGUUGUUAGUGCACAUAUGCUACAUGUUUAUGAGGAAUGUUUAACAUUACCCCCCAAGUCAGUUCUAUGUAUAACCAUUUACCAAAUACUGCUGAUGUGGUUUCUUCAAGGAAGCAUGCUGUGCUGCGCUGUGAUGCAUUGUCAUCUUGCUGCUUGACAAAUAGGUCUGUAAGGAAUUAGAACUGUGUGUGUAGUACCUUUGUGUAACAAGAUGUAAAUUUAAAGAUGAGGAAUGUGUGCAAAUGAUCAUUCGGUGUUUUAAAAAUUAGUACUAUAUCUAAAGCUGUGACUGGUAUGUUUUAACUUUCAUGGCACUGAAUAAAUUAAAAUGAAAAAAAAAAUUCAAAACCUCAGACCAAAAAUAGACAAUGAAAAGGAAGCUAAGAGGUGAGAAUUGCGCAAAUUCAGGAAAGAAUGGAAGAAAAACAUAAAAAAUAAUUAAAAGCCAAGAUUAAAUUACAGAUUCAAGGGAAAGUUUCUCUGAAAUUAUAAUUUUGGAACUGAAAUACGAAGUGUGGAAUUAGGGAAGGAAGACCCAAAAUAAUGAAUGCGAUAUAAUCACAUAUUAAAAGACAGCACUUUGGGGGUGAGAGAGUGCUUGCUUACUCUGCGUGAGAUCCUAGCUCUGAUCCCUGGCCUCAUACAAGAGACUCACUUAAGGACACACAUACAUAUACCCAGAGUGGAGGGAUGAAAAAGAUCUUCUGUGCAAAUGGAGAAACCAGAAGUGACCAGG
rnacentral:lncRNA from 1 species